UUUUCUAAAAUUUCAUUCACUUUUGUUCAACUUCAUAACAGAAAAGGCUAGACCUUUCUUUCAUUCUGCUUGGUAUUUUUCUUAUAUAAAUAAAUUAGACCAAUCUAUUCCAAAUUUAAAAAUAAAUAAAUAAAUAAAAUGGAAAAUACAAACAUAAACUUCAUAUACUUCAUUCACUGUGCAUUAUCUUGCAACUCCUGUUAUCCAUGCCGACAACUUGCCAUAUGUGCAAAAAGCAUUAAAUCUCUCCAUAAAUCCAAUCACACAAGUGAAACAUGCCAUUAUUACCGUCUCACGGGAUUUCUACAAUAUAAACAAACAAAAGCAAACAUAAUUUACCUCCAGCAAACAUGAUUUACUAUGACUAAUUUUCGGAUAACUAAGAGAUAUUAGGUAAAACAGAAAAAUGAAUCACACUUUGCUGCUGCUUGAGGAUCUUUAAUGGACUUUAUCAUAUCAACUCUCUUGGUUGUUCAUCACCUGCACACCAGAGAAAUGCAGUUGGAUAAGCUAAUUGACCAAUCAACUCGAGAAAACGUUAAAAGGAUAGAACAUAAAAGGAGGUUUCUAUGAGAAGUUAGACACAACAGAAUGAAUCAUGAGUUAUGAGCAAAUACCACCUAUCAAGUAAAAUGAACAGAAAAAUGAUAAAUAUGGGCUUUGACAUAGCAAGUGAAAUAGUGGACUACUCGAUUCAAAGAUGAUUCAAUUUAAAAUUUCACAUAAAAAAGUGGGAAAAUACCAGAAAAACAAAGAAAACCAACAUCUUACACAAUUUAGCUAUUGUUGAACAUGAUAAAUAACAUAUUAGUGGAAUUUAGAGAUGCUUACAAAGGGAUUAUCAUAGUACCAGCUCAGUGGACUAUAAGCCACCCAUCACACGUUCAUGGUCCUCUCCCAACUAUAUAAAUAUAUAUUAAUAUUUCUAUACAAAAAGAAUGGCAACCAAUGGGUAAUAGAAAGAAAAAAUGAAAAACUUUACUCUUUCCACUUUGACACGACCCUGCGAGAAUGACAACCAAUGGAUAAUAGAAUAUCAUCUGCUCACCAAAUGUAACAUUCUAUUCUUAAGUAAUUCCAACUUCCAAAUAAGAAAAUUUCUUAGACUUAGCCAAGUGACAAUUAAGGAAUUUGAUAUUAAAUUAGUAAAUUGGUCACUAAAACUUGUGACAAAGUGGCCAGUCUUAUGCUAAGCAUAUAAUACAAUGUAGACAUGACAUGCAAUUAACAGAUGCAUCUUCUAUGGAAGAGGUUUACUCAUUACAAAUAGAUAUGUUUCAAAGUGGAAGAAUUUCUACUUCAUGGACUGUGUAGAGAGGGCUAUAAGGCCGUAAAAAAAAAAUUCAAAAAAAGAAGUCUAGUUAUCUUUUCACAGACACAUACCAAAACAAAAAAAGGAAAUCUUUAUGCCAACUACUUUACUAUCUUCUAGGAAGAAUUUAACCAGAGUAGUAAUAUGAGGAAUCUUAUGUAUUUCACACUAAUCCAAAAACAGACACAGAUUAGUUAUCAAUAUAGCCACACAGGAAAGAGAGUAUUCAGGUAUAUCAUACAGCUGAGUUCUCGGGCACUGAUACUUCAUGAAUAUCAACAGAGUUGUCAAACAUUUUCACAACAAAAAGCAUAAUUUAUAUAUAUACAAUCUUUCAAUUAUUACCCAGUAUUUGCAAAUUCAUGGAUGCUCAUUAAAGCUUGAAAAUAAACCUUGUAAAAACGACUUUCUUUAAGUUUAUUAAGAACCUGUAUAGCAAAGGGAGAGUAAUAAUCACACUGUGUCCAUAUCUGAGUCUAUAUCUCUGCUUGUCAGAGUAUAAUAUAAUGCACACUAAGUUGUUCUAUUAACAAAAAAAAAAUCAUAUUCAUUUUUUUGGGUUUGAAAUAUUCCAAAUUAUACAUGUAGAGAGAAAGUCCAACUCUGAAAAGGAGAAAAAAGAGAGACGCGGAUAGAUAAAAUUGCAAGCCCUUACCGAAUCGAACGGAGAUCGCGAUUCUAGGGCUCGGCCUUCAGUCGAUUUCGUAGCAAUCGCGUUUCUAGGGCUUGCCUUGGCUUGGCUUUCUCUCUUGCAGCAAUCGUGAUGUAGGAGGAACUCGUUCACUUCAUUCGAUUUUGCAGGAUUGGAUUUCAAUCGUGAUGGAGGAGGAAGUCGCUUGCUUCUUAGUUUGAGAGCUGAGUGAAGUGAGCGAGGAGAGAGAUAUAACAAAACACGGGUUUUUUUAAAAAAAAUGCUCUUUAAGGGAGUAAUACUCUUUAGCGAGAAUGCUUCUGAACCGGCCGUAUAUAUAUAUAUAUAUAGCUAGCUAGCUAUAUUUUAUUUUGGGCGAAAGGGUAUUAUUGCAGAUUCUUCUUAAUUUCCACCGGCCGGCCGGAGUAUUUA
rnacentral:lncRNA from 1 species